AAGACCUUGGCUUGGCUAUAAUUAUUACAGAGAGAAAGAGAGAGAGAGAGAAAGGGAAAGAGUGAGAGUAUACUUUAUUGCACAUCAAAAUACUACAAUAUUGAAAAACAGUGAACAGAAAAUAAAAUUAUACAAUAGGUGGCCUUAUCGGUGAAAGCGAUUUCUUCCAGACAGACGCCGCUUUUAUCUAGAGAAAUUCUGAAAAAGAUACAUCAGGAAACUUCACUGAGGAUGGCGGGCGGGAUAUGUCAGAGUCGAAUUAACUAAAACCUCCUGUCGCUCAACAACCAACAUCCAAACCUCGUAUGAGACAGAACUCAUGAAAAGGCAAAAGGGGGAAAGUGAAGCGUUUAGUGCGGAGCAUAUCUCUCCCAUCACCCUCCCCCUCGGGACGCCAGACCGGCGGUCGUCGGCGCUACGACCGACCACCAGCCCUCUCGGUCGGCAGGCUGUCCGAAGCCCGCCUAGAUGGCGCCGGUUAGAGUGAGUUACCCUACGGUAUCCUUGAAAAAUGUUUGAAAAAGGUAAAGCAUGUUCAAACAAACAGCCCUAAACAGAUAAGUAAUAAUCGUUCAUAAUUAUUUUAUAGCAUCUUAAAGUUAGCGCACUUCUCACCGCCGAACGUAAUGCAUUCCACAAUCGAAUCGAAUAUUAUUCAGGCAAAACAUAAUUCACUAAGAAUAUUUAAAAUGAAAAUUAUAUUUUAUUUAUUUGAAAUUUAAUUGAAGUACUAGACAGAAAUUUAUUUCAUACUAGCUUUCGCUCACUGCCGGACUUUCGAAGUCAAUGUGUAAAAUUCCCUUGGGCACCCUACUUUUUUAUUCGAUACAAAGUAGGUAAUCUAUGUCUUUUUCUGUACCUUUUAUAACUUUUUUAAAAUAAUUUCACGGUGACAGGUUGAGAAGUUAAGACGUGAAAACUUACUAAACGAUCAAACUCACGUUCGUUUAUGUAUUAUUAAUAUGUAUUUUAAUUAUUGUUUUAUAUAUGUAGGUAUAAUGUACUAGCCGUACUCACCCACUUCGCUGGGCAUUUCAAAAUUAACAUUAUUAUUUAUUGUCAUUAUUAUUAGGGAGUCCAACACUCAUAUAAAUAUUAGCCUAUCCAUUAAGUACAUGUAUUUUCUACAUGGAUACCAAGUUUCAAGGCAAUCGGAUGCAUGGUUCAGUAGUUAUAACGGAACAUCCC